rnacentral:sRNA from 1 species
CACCGAAGCAGCGGCAUACCUACAUAUU